GCGUUCUUGGCCGAGUGGUUUAAGGCGUCGGCCUUAAGUGAUUACGUAAUCAAUUGGGAUAAUCCGAUGAUCGAGAGAUCGCGUGAGUUCGAACCUCACAGGACGCA